rnacentral:rRNA from 1 species
GCAUAUCAAUAAGCGGAGGAAAAGAAACUAACAAGGAUUCCCCUAGUAACGGCGAGUGAACCGGGAAGAGCUCAAAUUUGAAAUCUGGCGUCCUCAGGGCGUCCGAGUUGUAAUCUAUAGAGGCGUUUUCCGUGCCGGACCGUGUCCAAGUUCCUUGGAACAGGAUAUCAAAGAGGGUGACAAUCCCGUACUUGACACGACGACCGGUGCUCUGUGAUACGUCUUCUACGAGUCGAGUUGUUUGGGAAUGCAGCUCAAAAUGGGUGGUGAGUUCCAUCUAAAGCUAAAUAUUGGCGAGAGACCGAUAGCGAACAAGUACCGUGAGGGAAAGAUGAAAAGCACUUUGGAAAGAGAGUUAAACAGUACGUGAAAUUGUUGAAAGGGAAACGAUUGAAGUCAGUCGUGACCGAGAGGCUCAGCCGGUUCUGCCGGUGUAUUCCCCUCGGUCGGGUCAACAUCAGUUUUGUCCGGUGGAUAAGGACGGUAGGAAGGUGGCACCCUCGGGUGUGUUAUAGCCUGCCGUCGCAUACAUCGGGUGAGACUGAGGAACGCAGCUCGCCUUUAUGGCCGGGGUUCGCCCACGUCCGAGCUUAGGAUGUUGACAUAAUGGCUUUAAACGACCCGUCUUGAAACACGGACC